AACAAAACCAAAAAAUCUUGCUCUUUUUUUGACCUGUGAAAAGUACCAAAAUGUAGUGUUGUUGUUUUCAGGAAAGUUUUGAUGAAAUUAAACACAUGUCCUUAUAUAAUUUCUGCAGAGCGGCUCUUUAAAACUUUAAAAGAACUUUAAAAGAACUUCACCCAGCUAACAGCUGCCUAGCAACAGAGUCGGAAGCUUUCCGAUUGGUUGUUUCCGGCAGUGAUGGUGACUUGGAGUUUUGUUUGACACCCAAAAGAAUUUAAAAAAAUCAUUAAAGGUUCAAAAACACCUUCGCACUGAAUCCACUGUCCCUCCAUCAGUGUGAAUGUGUUUGUGAAAGAAACAAACAGAAGGAUGAUAAAUAGUGACCGUAACCAUGGCGACAGUAAUCAGCUCUGUGAUUGGUUUGUUUUUUCGUUGUUUUCAUGUAGUUCAGUAACGUCUGCAGCAGCUCUGUCAGUGAAAUCACUCGUCUGUCUGUAGUAAAAACUCUCUGAAUUAAAGUCAAUAUCCACCAACAGACGCCAUGUUUCCUUCUUUAUCAACAAUACACACAAAAGAUAAUAUCUUUAAUUAAUUUAUUUAUCUUUGAACAGAAACACACAUGAACUCUGUUGAUCACAGUCUGAUCGACACACAUGCAUGAUUCACUCUGUACACACAAACAACAUGUAACAACCUGCACACACACAUUUCGCUACAAAAUCUACAAAACUAUAAAAACUGUUUCUCUUCUCGGUCUACAGGAACACAUUAGGGACAUUUUUAGUGUGAGAUUUUUACUACUUUUACUCUAUAAACACUUUAACACUUUCUGUAACAUGGCAACAAAGAUUUGUAUUUGGCACUAGUGUCACCACGGCUACAUUAAUUUACUCUUUGAUUUAAAGAAAGAAUGUUCCACAUGUUCCACAUAAAUAAAUCAUAAAGUCUGUCCUGUGUAAAUGUGUCUCUGAGUCCUGACUGUCUACAAUGAGGGAGAAGCUCGAGUCCCGCUGGCUGUGUUGUUGUCAGAGCCGUGUUUACAUGGACGGGACGGCCGGCUCCUCCCCUUGUGUAUAAAAGCUGUUUUAGUCAAGAACUAGAGAGAAGAAGAAGAACAUACUCACUGAUUAUUUGGAUGUUAGUAAGAGUUUUUAGAUCACGCUCAUUCUGUGUCAGUUUACAUGAAAUGUGAAGCUACGAGCUAACUAAAGAGCGCUAACAUUAGCAUGCUAACACAACAAUGCAGGACACAGCUGAUUGUAGCUCGAGCAAAGAACAAAUUUGACCGCUUAAUUACGGUGCGUUCUAAUUGAUAACUCCUUCAUGCGAAUGUGAGUGAAGGGGGGUUGGAGAGCAGAGGCUUCAAUAUGGAGGAGGCGUGGCCUAACAGGAAGUUUGUUUUGGUUUCAUGCUGGAGCUCAAGGGCGACAUCUACUGGAUCAAAAAGUCUCAAAGUCUUCCUUUAAGAAACAUUUUAUGUCAUAUUUUUCGUUAAGGAGUUUAAAUAAAUGAACACACACACACACACACACACACACACACACACACACACACACACACACACACACACACACACACACACACACACACACACACACACACACACACACACACACACACA